rnacentral:misc_RNA from 1 species
CCCAAAAUCAAUCAACAAACGAUGGGAACGGCUUUUCUGCACUAAAAUUCAUAAUUUCAAAUUUUAUUAUAAAUAUAAGUAAUAUGUAGUGAUGGUAUUUGCGUGUGAAUAAACUAAUUAAGAUGUCCGACUUGAAAAUUUGUAGAAUUUGCCUUAGAACUCAGUGCAAAGUGUACAGAUUUGACCGAUAUCAACUCAAACAUUAUUAUGAAGAAGUUACUGCCGUAAAAGUAAAUGACAAGGAUGGUCUUCCACACUUCUUCUGCUACGAGUGCGCCACCAUGCUGCAUAAGUUCCACAAGUUUAAGGAGAAGUGUUACAAUGGACAGAAUACUCUCAAAGAGAUUGGUUGGAGAGGUCCAAUUACAUACGAAGCCAUUUACAAAAUAGACAGAGCGUUGAGACAACUUAAAUCACCGUUGGAAAUACUCACCGUUACUAAAAGAGUUAAAACCUACGUCACAACGGAUAUUGCAGAAGCUAGUAACUCUGAAUCCGAGUCCAUACAUGCUGAGGAUGAGAAGGAAAUCAAUAUUAAAGACAUUGAAGACUGUAAAGAUGUCUUCUUAGAUGAAGGAUCCAUAGCCGAUGACAAUUUUGAUUCAGAAUGCAUUGCUAUUGACGAAGAUUCCAAAAAUAUCUUAUUAGCAAAUGACGUCUCUACAGAAGUCGAUAAAAAAAUGGAUUUUUUUAUUAAUAAUUCCCAAACUAGAAGGAAAGACAAAGAAACGCCAAUACCAAGUCCAAAGACGGUCUUUGUUGAUAUAAAAAAAGAUGUGAUAACAUUGAAAAAUGAACCUUUCAAAGAAAGAAAGCGGUAUGCUGGGGAAUUUGGAUUGAAGAAACAAAAUCCUAAACAGACGAAGAAAAGAACUAGAUAUCUUGACAGUGAGAAUUGGAAGAAAUAUACAUUGUCUGAAGAAGAUGCAGUGAAAGAAUUUCAGAUGAAAGCAAAAAGUCCGAAGUAUGAUUCUGCUGCGUUCAAAUGUGGUGAUUGUUAUAAAGGGUUUUCUAAAGAAGACAUGUUGAAAAGGCAUAAACAACUGCGACAUAGUGAGUCACUGGGCCCUCUGGAAUGUCGCUUCUGCCACAUGAGAUUCAAGUGGGACUGCAAGUUGAGAAAGCACAUGCGGCAACAUUUCACAAGAUACGUCUGUCUACUGUGUAACCUGCGAUGUUCCGUGGAAAAUACUGCCAUCAUGCACGAGGAUUACCACAAAGGGGUGAUCAAGAAAUGUAUUCACUGCGGGGAAGAGUUCAAGCACUCAUCAACAUACUACACACAUCUCCGGACACACAGGAGCGAAUAUGUGUGCACUCUGUGCGGUAUGUCCUUCGUAAGUCCCAGUGGGCUGCAUAUGCACAAGAAGAUAAAACAUAUAAAUGAUGAAAUUGAUAGCCCAGACGACGACGAGGAAGUGAACACAUUCUGCGAGAAAUGUGACAUAACUUUCGAAACUAGGAAAGCGUACGAAGAACAUCUAUUUCACUCGGCAAUGCAUACGGAAGGCUUAGAAGAUGAACUGGACGAGUUCUCAGUGCCCAGGAAGGUGCUAGGCAAGAAGUUGCAAGCGAAAAUAACUCAUAGUUUGAAGAAGAAGACGCCUCUGCCUGAGGAGCUGGUGAGGACAGCGAAAAAGAGACGGAAGAAUAAACGACGGUGCCAUAAGAAACCUACUACUUGUCAUCAGUGCGGCAAACACUUCGACACGCAAGCGGCGUGUAUGAAGCACCACUUAGCUGAGCACCCGAGGACGUCGUUCUUCCCUGCGCAUGAGCGGCACAUCUGUGAAAUCUGCGGAGCCUCGCUCGCUCCAGGCAGCGUGGCGAUGCAUCAGAACAUCCACUCUAAGCAGAAGAUGUUCCCAUGCGAGACUUGCGGGAAGACCUUCCACUCCAGCAUCGGCGUGCGACGACAUAUGGUGACCCACACUGGUGAGAAGCCGUUUGCCUGCACGCUAUGCGACAAGCGGUUCACGCAGAGCAACAGCAUGAAGCUGCAUUACAGAACCUUCCAUCUCAAACAGCCGUAUCCAAAGAGAAAUAGAAGAAAAAAGAAGGAUGACAUCCCAACGGCGGAGGACAACAAGACGAGCUCGGAGGAGUCGGAGGCCAGCCUGCCCGACGCUGCGCCGGCGCCGGCCCCGCUGCAAGACGCGCACGACACUAUACACUAUCUCACUCUCAGCUAGAACGGAUGUCCUAGAACACCUCGGACACUUAGUCCGAGUCCUAGAACGCGCGGAUUGUCUAUCUCACUCGCACUUAUGCGGUUACGCAUAGGACACUCCGCGCGUUCCACCAUUGGCCCCACUGGUGGACAACGCAACAGUUCUUAGCGGCUUACGACCAUUUAAGACUGAAGCAUAGAAUAAGGAAUAAUGCUACGUAUAGAAGUUUCCUCGCGAUGUUUUCUUCACCGCUGAGCACGUGAUAAUCAUUUAUGAUCCAAACAUGAAUUCCAAAACAAAUUCGACAAUCAUUGGUUUAGGCCUGUGCUGGAUUCGAACCUGCGACCUCAAAGUGAGAGGCAAGCGUUCUACCAACUGGGCUACCAC